rnacentral:rRNA from 1 species
GACGAACGCUGGCGGCGUGCUUAACACAUGCAAGUCGAACGGAAAGGCCCUGCUUUUGUGGGGUGCUCGAGUGACGAACGGGUGAGUAACACGUGAGUAACCUGCCCUUGACUUUGGGAUAACUUCAGGAAACUGGGGCUAAUACCGGAUAGGAGCUCCUGCUGCAUGGUGGGGGUUGGAAAGUUUCGGCGGUUGGGGAUGGACUCGCGGCUUAUCAGCUUGUUGGUGGGGUAGUGGCUUACCAAGGCUUUGACGGGUAGCCGGCCUGAGAGGGUGACCGGCCACGUUGGGACUGAGAUACGGCCCGGACUCCUCCGGGAGGGAGCAGUGGGGAAUAGUGCACAAUGGGCGGAAGCCUGAUGCAGCAACGCCGCGUGCGGGAUGACGGCCUUCGGGUUGUAAACCGCUUUCGCCUGUGACGAAGCGUGAGUGACGGGAAUGGGUAAAGAAGCACCGGCUAACUACGUG